rnacentral:rRNA from 1 species
ACGAACGCUGGCGGCAUGCCUAACACAUGCAAGUCGAACGAGACCUUCGGGUCUAGUGGCGCACGGGUGCGUAACGCGUGGGAAUCUGCCCUUGGGUUCGGAAUAACAGUUGGAAACGACUGCUAGUACCGGAUGAUGACGUAAGUCCAAAGAUUUAUCGCCCAAGGAUGAGCCCGCGUAGGAUUAGCUAGUUGGUGAGGUAAAGGCUCACCAAGGCGACGAUCCUUAGCUGGUCUGAGAGGAUGAUCAGCCACACUGGGACUGAGACACGGCCCAGACUCCUACGGGAGGCAGCAGUGGGGAAUAUUGGACAAUGGGCGAAAGCCUGAUCCAGCAAUGCCGCGUGAGUGAUGAAGGCCUUAGGGUUGUAAAGCUCUUUUACCCGGGAUGAUAAUGACAGUACCGGGAGAAUAAGCUCCGGCUAACUCCGUG